AGUGAACGCUGGCGGUAGGCCUAACACAUGCAAGUCGAACGGCAGCACAGUAAGAGCUUGCUCUUACGGGUGGCGAGUGGCGGACGGGUGAGGAAUACAUCGGAAUCUACUUUUUCGUGGGGGAUAACGUAGGGAAACUUACGCUAAUACCGCAUAAGACCUACGGGUGAAAGCAGGGGUUCUUCGGACCUUGCGCGAUUGAAUGAGCCGAUGUCGGAUUAGCUAGUUGGCGGGGUAAAGGCCCACCAAGGCGACGAUCCGUAGCUGGUCUGAGAGGAUGAUCAGCCACACUGGAACUGAGACACGGUCCAGACUCCUACGGGAGGCAGCAGUGGGGAAUAUUGGACAAUGGGCGCAAGCCUGAUCCAGCCAUACCGCGUGGGUGAAGAAGGCCUUCGGGUUGUAAAGCCCUUUUGUUGGGAAAGAAAAGCAGCAGGUUAAUACCCCGCUGUUCUGACGGUACCCAAAGAAUAAGCACCGGCUAACUUCGUG
rnacentral:rRNA from 1 species